AUUGUACGCUGGCGGCAUGCUUUACACAUGCAAGUCGAACGGUAGCAGGCCGCAAGGUGCUGACGAGUGGCGAACGGGUGAGUAAUGCAUCGGAACGUGCCCAGUCGUGGGGGAUAACUACUCGAAAGAGUAGCUAAUACCGCAUACGAUCUAUGGAUGAAAGCGGGGGACCGUAAGGCCUCGCGCGAUUGGAGCGGCCGAUGUCAGAUUAGGUAGUUGGUGGGGUAAAGGCUCACCAAGCCAACGAUCUGUAGCUGGUCUGAGAGGACGACCAGCCACACUGGGACUGAGACACGGCCCAGACUCCUACGGGAGGCAGCAGUGGGGAAUUUUGGACAAUGGGCGCAAGCCUGAUCCAGCAAUGCCGCGUGCAGGAAGAAGGCCUUCGGGUUGUAAACUGCUUUUGUACGGAACGAAACGGCUCUGGUUAAUACCCGGGGCUAAUGACGGUACCGUAAGAAUAAGCACCGGCUAACUACGUG
rnacentral:rRNA from 1 species